GACGAACGCUGGCGGCGUGCUUAACACAUGCAAGUCGAACGGAAAGGCCCUCACCUUGGUGGGGGUGCUCGAGUGGCGAACGGGUGAGUAACACGUGGGUGAUCUGCCCUGUACUUCGGGAUAAGCUUGGGAAACUGGGUCUAAUACCGGAUAGGACCAUGGUUUAGUGUCUCAUGGUGGAAAAAUUAUUGUUUUGGUGCAGGAUGAGCUCGCGGCCUAUCAGCUUGUUGGUGGGGUAAUGGCCUACCAAGGCGUCGACGGGUAGCCGGCCUGAGAGGGUGGACGGCCACAUUGGGACUGAGAUACGGCCCAGACUCCUACGGGAGGCAGCAGUGGGGAAUAUUGCACAAUGGGCGCAAGCCUGAUGCAGCGACGCCGCGUGGGGGAUGACGGCCUUCGGGUUGUAAACUCCUUUCGUUAGGGACGAAGCCACACUUUUUUUGGGUGUGGUGACGGUACCUUUGUUAAGAAGCACCGGCUAACUACGUGCCAGCAGCCGCGGUAAUACGUAGGGUGCGAGCGUUGUCCGGAAUUACUGGGCGUAAAGAGCUCGUAGGUGGUUUGUUGCGUCGUCUGUGAAAUUCCGGGGCUUAACUUCGGGGUGGCAGGCGAUACGGGCAUAACUAGAGUGCUGUAGGGGAGACUGGAAUUCCUGGUGUAGCGGUGGAAUGCGCAGAUAUCAGGAGGAACACCGAUGGCGAAGGCAGGUCUCUGGGCAGUAACUGACGCUGAGGAGCGAAAGCAUGGGGAGCGAACAGGAUUAGAUACCCUGGUAGUCCAUGCUGUAAACGGUGGGCGUUAGGUGUGGGGACCGGUUUGGUUUCUGUGCCGUAGCUAACGCAUUAAGCGCCCCGCCUGGGGAGUACGGCCGCAAGGCUAAAACUCAAAGGAAUUGACGGGGGCCCGCACAAGCGGCGGAGCAUGUGGAUUAAUUCGAUGCAACGCGAAGAACCUUACCUGGGUUUGACAUGCACCAGACGGUUGUAGAGAUACGUACCUCCCUUUGUGGUUGGUGUGCAGGUGGUGCAUGGUUGUCGUCAGCUCGUGUCGUGAGAUGUUGGGUUAGGUCCCGCAACGAGCGCAACCCUUGUCUUAUGUUGCCAGCACGUUUGGGUGGGGACUCAUGAGAGACUGCCGGGGUUAACUCGGAGGAAGGUGGGGAUGACGUCAAAUCAUCAUGCCCUUUAUGCCCAGGGCUUCACACAUGCUACAAUGGUUAGUACAACGCGCGGCGAGCCUGUGAGGGUGAGCGAAUCGCUGAAAGCUAAUCUCAGUUCGGAUUGGGGUCUGCAACUCGACCCCAUGAAGUCGGAGUCGCUAGUAAUCGCAGAUCAGCAAUGCUGCGGUGAAUACGUUCCCGGGCCU
rnacentral:rRNA from 1 species